GCUCAGGAUGAACGCUGGCGGCGUGCCUAACACAUGCAUUUCGAACGGAACUUCUUUGACAGAAUUCUUCGGAAGGAAGUUGAUUAAGUUUAGUGGCGGACGGGUGAGUAACGCGUGAGUAACCUGCCUUUGAGAGGGGAAUAACUUCCCGAAAGGGAUGCUAAUACCGCAUGACGCAUAUUUAUCGCAUGGUAGAUAUGCCAAAGAUUUAUCGCUCAAAGAUGGACUCGCGUCCGAUUAGCCAGUUGGCGGGGUAACGGCCCACCAAAGCGACGAUCGGUAGCCGGACUGAGAGGUUGAACGGCCACAUUGGGACUGAGACACGGCCCUGACUCCUACGGGAGGCAGCAGUGGGGGAUAUUGCGCAAUGGGGGAAACCCUGACGCAGCAACGCCGCGUGAAGGAUGAAGGUUUUCGGAUUGUAAACUUCUUUUAUUUAGGACGAACAAUGACGGUACUAAAUGAAUAAGCUCCGGCUAACUACGUGCCAGCAGCCGCGGUAAUACGUAGGGAGCAAGCGUUAUCCGGAUUUACUGGGUGUAAAGGGUGCGUAGGCGGCUUGGUAAGUCAGAUGUGAAAUGUAUGGGCUCAACCCAUGCACUGCAUUUGAAACUAUUGAGCUUGAGUGAAGUAGAGGUAGGCGGAAUUCCCUGUGUAGCGGUGAAAUGCGUAGAGAUAGGGAGGAACACCAGUGGCGAAGGCGGCCUACUGGGCUUUAACUGACGCUGAGGCACGAAAGCGUGGGUAGCAAACAGGAUUAGAUACCCUGGUAGUCCACGCUGUA
rnacentral:rRNA from 1 species